UCGCUUUGAUUUCGCCAAAGUGUCACCGCUUUCAAUGUGGGCGUUUGUUUACCUGGUGGUGAUCGGCGCAUUGAUCGGAUACACCGCUUAUUUCUGGCUCUUGCGCCACUGCGAUCCGGCAAAGGUCGCUACCUAUGCCUACGUGAACCCGAUCGUGGCGGUGCUUCUCGGAACUUUGUUUGCUCACGAACCCUUGUCAUUGCGGACUGUCCUUGGGGCCGCUCUGAUUAUUGGUUCGGUCGCGUUGGUGAUCACGGCACAACAACUCGGUCCGAAGAGGACCGCUCGAACAUCUGCCGCUCCGGCGGAGACCGUUGAUUGCGCCACCUGAACCUUGCCCCCCUUGAGAAGCCAUCUCAUAAAUAGAAGGGGCCGCGUGGCUGCCGAUUUUUGGCUUUGGUGAGGCGUCGACGAGGAAGCAUGUCCGUCCCGCGGCCGCGGGAUGACCGAGGAGCAACGAAGCCAAAGACAAAAAGCGGCGCCGCCCGCAGGGCAAGAGCCCUUCGCGGCGCCUGGCGGCGUUGCUCGUUCCUUACAGACCGCAAGGGUAUGCUCGUCACUCGCGCCUUGCCAGCCACCACGAAUUGCUCUUGCGCGGCCUCCUCCUAUUUAUGAGAUGGCUUCUAGAAAAUUGAUUGCGCCGCAGCGGCAAAUUCUGACAGCAUCUGCCAAUCCGCUCCGGCAAUGGCAUUACGGAUGGCCGCGGCAAAUAACUACCUGUUUAAAAUAUGAAAUACUUGUUUCAGACUUUAAUUGUCGUCGUCGCACUAAGCUGCGUUCGAGCAUUGUCCGCUGCUGAGGAAGAUCCGGUCAAAAUCUCGCCGGAUAAAUACAAAGUGAUCCUGAAGAACCGGCAGGUGCGGGUGGU
rnacentral:misc_RNA from 1 species